rnacentral:sRNA from 1 species
AAAAUGUCUGUGAUAUCUGCAUGGAUGACUUGAUGGGAUCCAGAAGCAACUUUGAUUCCACUCUAAUAAGCCCAAACUCUGUCUUUUCUCAAUGGCGAGUGGUCUGUGACUCCUUGGAAGAUUAUGAUACCCUGGGAACACUUUGUAACAGCACCGAGGAUGGGCCAAUUAGGAGAAAUCCAGCUGGAAAUGUGGCCAGACCAAUGGUGCAACGUCUUCCUGAACCACAGGAUGUCGCUCAGUGCUUGGAAGUUGGUUUAUUUGACACGCCUCCUUUUUAUUCCAACUCUACAAACAGUUUCCGAAACACAGUGGAAGGUUACAGUGACCCCACGGGAAAGUAUGACCCUGCUGUUCGAAGUCUUCACAAUUUGGCUCAUCUAUUCCUGAAUGGAACAGGGGGACAAACCCAUUUGUCUCCAAAUGAUCCUAUUUUUGUCCUCCUGCACACCUUCACAGAUGCAGUCUUCGAUGAAUGGCUGAGGAGAUACAAUGCUGGUCGGGAGUUUAGUGUACCUGAGAUAAUUGCCAUAGCAGUAGUUGGCGCUUUGUUACUGGUUGCACUCAUUUUUGGGACUGCUUCUUAUCUGAUUCGUGCCAGACGCAGUAUGGAUGAAGCUAACCAGCCUCUCCUCACUGAUCAGUAUCAAUGCUAUGCUGAAGAAUAUGAAAAACUCCGGAAUCCUAAUCAGUCUGUGGUCUAACAAAUGCCCUACUCUCUUAUGCAUUAGUAUCACAAAACCACCUGGUUGAAUAUAAUAGAUUGAGUUAUUAACUGUAUUUUCUUUC